rnacentral:rRNA from 1 species
GACGAACGCUGGCGGCGUGCUUAACACAUGCAAGUCGAACGGAAAGGCCCUGCUUUUGUGGGGUGCUCGAGUGGCGAACGGGUGAGUAACACGUGAGUAACCUGCCCUUGACUUUGGGAUAACUUCAGGAAACUGGGGCUAAUACCGGAUAGGAGCUCCUGCUGCAUGGUGGGGGUUGGAAAGUUUCGGCGGUUGGGGAUGGACUCGCGGCUUAUCAGCUUGUUGGUGGGGUAGUGGCUUACCAAGGCUUUGACGGGUAGCCGGCCUGAGAGGGUGACCGGCCACAAUGCGACUGAGAGACGCCGCAGACGCCUACGGGAGGCAGCAGUGGGGAGUAUUGCACAAUGGGCGGAAGCCUGAUGCAGCGACGCCGCGUGCGGGAUGACGGCCUUCGGGUUAUAAACCGCUUUCGCCUGUGACGAAGCGUGAGUGACGGUAAUGGGUAAGGAAGCACCGGCUAACUACGUG